CUGAAACUGCCUCCAUGAUGGCAGGACACAAAAUAAUCCUGAAACCUGAAAUACCCAUAAUGUCUUGGGUGAUGUCAGAGGAACACUCUGUAACGAAGGCAGUGCCCAGAAGAGUUCCUGAAUAAAAUGGAAAUGGUUUAUUCAGGAGUCUGCUGCUCAGGGAAUGCAAGGAGGUGCUAAUGGUAUUCAGGAGCAGGAAGCCUCUUUCCCCCUAGGGCCAACUUUGGAAGCACCGAGGAGCUGAUGGAUCCUAGUGCCACAUAGGAGGGGCCCUAUGAACAGCUCUUGGUUGAACAACAAAAAGCUGCUUGGUUUAUGGGUAGAAAGACCUUGUUUGGAAGGCCUUUGCACUCUGACUGAGGAUGGAAAAUCUUUGAAGAAGGUAAGAACAAAUCACCUCAGUGGACUGAAUUGCAUGCUGUUUUCCUUGCAGUGAUAGAAGAAUCGAAUGAUAAAAGCCCCUGUGUUUGGGUUUUUGCUGACUUAUGGGCAGUAGCCAAUGGCCUGGCAGAUGGGCAGUGAAAAACUGAACUAUUAAAGUGUUGCCCACCUGGGGCAUAACCCUAUGGAAAGUGGCCCCACGACUAGGACUGCAAAUGUGGGUGUCAGAAGAAGGGACAAUUCUCAAAGAAAAAACUGCAACUGGCUGGGUGCAGUGGCUCACGCCUGUGAUCCCAGCACUUUGGGAGGCUGAGGAGGGCGGAUCACAAGGUCAGGAGAACGAGACCAUCCUGGCUAACACGAUGAAACCCCGUCUCUACUAAAAAGUACAAAAAAUUAGCCAGGCAUGGUGGCAGGUGCCUGUAGUCCCAG
rnacentral:lncRNA from 1 species